GGCUAAUUACAAACACCUCCUUCCGCUUGAACAACUGACGCCGGAACCAACAAAACAGGACUGAAAGAUUUGUCUUUUAGCACCUUGAGAGACCUUGACUUCCACCCUGGCAAUCACUGCUGUAGUUUAUUACACUGGAGGCCCCUGGAUCCAAGUUGCAGAUGACUCAUGAAGAGGACAUGAAUAUACAGACAACAAAUGAAGCACAGAUAUGACUGACCACACCGAGGGAUCUCCCCUGCAGUUGCUCUUCCUCAGGUCUAAAUAUGACUCGACAUCAUCAGUCUAAUUGAUGCAACUGAGCAAAUUAGUUCUUGUUUACUGAGACCUGUACCUCGUCCUGAUUUGAUUUUAAAGUAAAGCCAGAAAUGA